UUCGCUGAAUUUGACAUAAAGACAUAUAUUGGAUUAGAAUUGCAUACUCCACCUUUAAGACUAUAAAAACACUUGGAUGAUAUUGCAUGCGUUCAGCUUCUGAGUGGCGUACAUAAUAUACUGCUCUUAGAUGCUUUGGCCGUACAGGAUUUAUGCAGAGAAUUGCAUUAAAGAUCGCACAGAUCUAUUUGCUGAGCCGUUUCAGAUUGCCAAGAGCACUGCUUUUAGAUUUGUGCAAUACUCUGGAGCCUCAAUUUAGGCGAAACACACACCUGUCAAAUCCCAUGCCUCCACACCUGCAAGUAGGUUAGGCUACUUAGCACACUUGGGAGUUUUAGCCACAGGAUCCCUUCAGAGAGAGAUAAGAGACAGCUCAGCUGGGAUGCGUCUAGCUCAGGGAGGUGGAGGAGAUGGGUAGCUGAUUGACCAGACAGGAGCGUUCUUACAACCACCGACACAUGCACACUUGCUCCAUGGUAGAGCACACAGUUGGAGUGCUGAAGGCCGGGUGAAUGUGCCUUGAUUCCGCUGGGGGAAAGCUUCUAUACACCCCGGAGAAAGCUUGUCCAAUCACAAUGGCCUGCUGUAUGCUGCACAAUGUGGCCAUGAGACGUGGUGUGCCACUCCCAGAUCAGAUACCCCUUGUGGAGAAAAUGCCAGAUGACCCAGUGGACG